UAUCCAGCUCAUGAGAGACGAGAAGAACUGAGAGGGCUGCUCCACACGAGUCAGCAUGUGAAGCUUUGCUCUGACUACGAAGAGAGCGACAAGGAUCCUGAGGCAGUGAAUGAACACACUUCCUACAUAGACUUAGAUCUAAGCCAUAGCUCCCUGUUCCUCCCCCAGACCUGGGGGAGGAGCCUCCUACUGAGUUCAAGCCUCUUCCACUCCACCUCCUGGUGUACAAGUGUCAGAGAUCCCCAUGAGGCCCGACCCAAUACCAAGCCAAGGAAUCCCUGAACCAGCUCUGGCUUCACCUCUCAUCCCAGACUGCUUUUCCCAUCCCAGAGCUCUGUCUUGGCAGUCCCCUGAAGCCCAGUACCAGCCAGGCGAAGCAUUGCUAAAACACAGAGAAAUUCCCGGUUUCACUGUCCCAAGAAGCUGUGCCCAGGGGAAGGGCAGACACAAACUGACAGAUUCACUGGCCAAUCAGGACCUCCAAGAAGCCCUUCAGUCAGAAGAGGAGGAGGGUGCUUCCGGGAAUCCCCUUGCAGUGUCUGCGCACUCGCGGCUUUUUAAGUGAUCUGCUGUGUUGCGCUUUAACCUCACUGCUGUUUACUGAGAGAACUUGAGCAAACUCUGAAGUUGCAACAUGGCCAGAAUAUUCUCCCUGCAGCCUAUGUGAGUGUUAAGAAAAAAAUUUAUGGACGUGACAUCAGGUUUCUGCUGUGCCCACAGAUGAACCUUUUCCAUAGCUCUCCCUACCCAGAUCUGGCUGAAAGACAACAACAGGUUUACAGAAGUGCUGACACACAGGCUUAUAGGAGGUUAAGCCACUGUCAGAGACAGCAAGACCAACUAACACCAGAGGUAACCAGAUGGGCAGGGGCAAGCAUAAGAACCCAAGCAAGAAAAAUCAAGACUACUUGGCAUCAUCAGAGCCCAGUUCUCUCACCAAAGCAAAUACUGGCUAUUCAAACACACCGGAGAAGCAAGAUUUGGAUUUCAAAUCACAUCUCAUGAUGAUGGUGGAGAACUUUAAGAAGGACAUAAAUAACUCCCUUAAAGAAGCACAAGACAUGGGGGCUGGAGAGGGCUCAGCGGUUAAGAGCACUGACUGCUCUUCCAGAGGUCAUGAGUUCAAUUCCCAGCAACCACAUAGUGGCUCACAGUCAUCCGUAAUGAGAUAUGGUGCCCUCUUCUGGCCUGCAGUCACAUGUGAGGCAGAAUGCUGUACAUAAAAUAAAUAAAUAAAUCUUUAAAAAAAAAAAAGAAGAAGAAGAAGCACAAGACAACAUGGAUAAACAAGUGAAAGCCCUUAAAGAAUUUCAAGAAAACAAAAUCAAAUAGGUGAAGAAAUUGAACAAAACCAUCCAGGAUUUAAAAAUGGAAAUAGAAGCAAUAAAGAAAACACAAAGGGAGAUAGAAACCCUGGAGAUAGAAAAUGUAGGAAAGAGAUCAGGAAUCGUAGAAUCAAGCAACACCAACAGAAUACAAGAGAUAGAAGAAAGAAUCUCAAGGGCAGAAGAAACCAUAGAAAACAUCAACACAACCAUCAAAGAAAAAUGUAAUAUGCAAAAAGCUCCUAACCCAAAACAUCAAGGAAAUCCAGGACACAAUGAAAAGAUCAUACCCAAGGAAAAAGAACUUUCUGUCCAUGAGGCACAGUGCAUGAAAAAUUAAAAAUGAAGAUAAGGAACAGAGUGAAUUUUUUUCUUUGAAUUUAAAUGACAAUAAAUGAUCGUUGAGCAGAAUUGUAAUAGCUUUACACAGUGACUCAUCUCUUUUCUUUUUAACAAAUAACCAGAGGUAGACGGUAACACUUUCCUUUCCUUUGCAGAGAAUGUGUAUAAUCAUUUAAGAUUUUUACACAGCAGUCUCUUUUUUUUUCCAUCUUUAUUAACUUGGGUAUUUCUUAUUUACAUUUCAAAUGUUAUUCCCUUUCCUGAUUUCCAGGCCAACAUCCCCUUAACCCUCCCCCUCCCCUUCUAUAUGUUUGUUCCCAUCCCCCAUUACCACCCUCCCCACCACAAUCCCGUUCACUGGGGGUCCAGCCUUGGCAGGGCCAAGGGCUUCCCCUUCCACUGGUGCUCUUACUAGGAUAUUCAUUGCUACCUAUGAGGUCAGAGUCCAGGGUUAGUCCAUGUAUAGUCUUUGGGUAGUGGCUUAGUCCCUGGAAGCUCUGGUUGGUUGGCUUGUUGUUCAUAUGGGGUCUCAAGCCCCUUCAGCUCUUUCUGUCCUUUCUCUGAUUGCUUCAACAGGGGUCCUGUUCUCAGUUCAGUGGUUUGCUGCUGGCAUUCGCCUCUGUAUUUGCUGUAUUCUGGCUGUGUCUCUCAGGAGAGAUCUACAUUCGGUUCCUGUCAGUCUGCACUUCUUUGCUUCAUCUUAUCUCGUUUGGUGGCUGUAUAUGUAUGGGCCACAUGUGGGCCAGACCCUGAAUAGCUGUUCCUUCAGUCUCUGUUCUUAACUUUGCCUCCCUAUCUCCUCCUAAGGGUAUUCUUGUUCCCCUUUUAAAGAAGGAGUGAAGCAUUCGCAUUUUGAUCAUCCUUCUUGAGUUUCAUGUGUUCUGUGCAUCUUGGUUAAUUUCACCAUUUGGGCUAAUACCCACUUAUCAAUGAGUGCAUACCAUGUGUGUUUAUCUGUGAUUGGGUUACCUCACUCAGGACGAUAUUUUCCAGUUCCAUCCAUUUGCCUGUGAAUUUUAUGAAGUCAUUGUUUAUGAUAGUGGAGUAAUAUUCCAUUGUGUAGAUGUACCACAUUUUCUGUAUCCAUUCCUCUGUUGAAGGAUAUUUGAGUUCUUUCCAGCUUCUGGCUAUUAUAAAUAAGGCUGCUAUGAACAUAGUGGAGCAUGUGUUUUGUUAUAUGUUGGGGCAUCUUGUGGGUAUAUGCCCAACAGAGGUAUAGCUGGGUCCUCAGGUAGUGCAAUGUCCAAUUUUCUGAGGAACCUCCAGACUGAUUUCCAGAAUGGCUGUACCAGUCUGCAAUCCCACCAGCAAUGGAGGAAUGUUCCUCUUUCUCCACAUCCCCACCAGCAUAUGCUGUCGCCAGAGUUUUUGAUCUUAGCCAUUCUCACUGGUGUGAGGUGAAAUCUCAAGGUUGUUUUGAUUUGCAUUUCCCUUAUGACUAAAGAUGUUGAACAUUUCUUUAGCUGCUUCUCAGCCAUUCUGCAUUGCUCAGCUGUGAAUUCUUUGUUUAGCUCUGAACCCCAUUUUUAAUAGGGUUAUUUGUCUCCCUGCAGUCUAACUUCAUGAGUUCUUUGUAUAUUUUGGAUAUAAGCCCUCUAUCAGUUGUGGGAUUGGUAAAGAUCUUUUCCCAAUAUGUUGGUUGCCGUUUUGUCCUAACAACAGUGUCCUUUGCCUUAGAGAAGCUUUGCAGUUUUAUGAGGUCCCAUUUGUCGAUUCUUGACCUUAGAACAUAAGCCAUUGGUGUUUUGUUCAGGAAGUUUUCCCCAGUGCCCAUGUGUUUGAGACUCUUCCUUAAUUUUUCUUCUAUUAGUUUGAGUGUAUCUGGUUUUAUGUAGUGUCGGGGACCAGACUGCCAGACUAGGCAAAGCUAGAGCCCUGCUCAGAGCAGAUUCCUGAGAAGGGCUUGACCUUUUCAAGGAAAGAACACUUGCCUCUUUGUCUAAGAAGAAUAUCUUGCGGUUUAGUGAUUCACCUUAUGUCCUUGGGCACUUCCCAGUACUCCAUCCCCCCCCCAACCCCCACCCCGCCCUAAGCUUCAGUUCCUGCUUCAAUUCCUGCUUCAGAGCUUUAAAUGCUGUACACUCCUCUCAAUAAACAGACCUUGACUAGAACACUGCUUGGUCUCGCUCCUCUUUCUUGCCCGUUCUCCUGCAGGUAUGGGUCCCCCUCGACCCCCACGAAUAACUGGGUACCUGCUGGCAGGGGCAAUGUAGAGGUCCUCCAUCCACUUGGACUUAAGCUUUGUACAGGGUGAUAAGCAUGGAUCGAUCUGCAUUCUUCUACAUGCUGACCUCCAGUUGAACCAGCACCGUUUGCUGAAAAUGCUAUCUUUUUUCCAGUGGAUGGUUUUGGCUCCUUUGUCAAAAAUCAAGUGCCCACAGGUGUGUGGGUUCAUUUCUGGGUCUUCAAUUCUAUUCCACUGGUCUAUCUGUCUGUCUCUGUACCAAUACCAUGCAGUUUUUAUGACUAUUGCUCUGUAAUACUGCUUGAGUUCAGGGAUAGUGAUUCCCCCAGAAGUCCUUUUAUUGUUGAGGAUAGUUUUAGCUAUCCUGGGUUUUUUGUUAUUCCAGAUGAAUUUGCAAAUUGUUCUGUCUAAGUCUCUGAAGAAUUGGAUUGGAAUUUUGAUGUGGAUUGCAUUGAAUCUGUAGAUCACUUUUGGUAAAAUGGCCAUUUUUACUAUAUUAAUCCUGCCAAUCCAUGAGCAUGGGAGAUCUUCAAUUUCUUUCUUCAGAGACUUGAAGUUCUUAUCAUACAGAUCUUUCACUUGUUUAAAGUCACACCGAGGUAUUUUAUAUUAUUUGGGACUAUUAUGAAGGGUGUCAUUCGGGGCUGGAGAGAUGGCUCAGUGGUUAAGAGCACUGACUGUUCUUCCACAGGUCCUGAGUUCAAAUCCAAGCAACCACAUGGUGGCUCACAAUCACCUGUAAUAAGAUCUGAUGCCCUCUUCUGGUGUGUCUGAAGUCAGCUACAGUGUACUUAUAUAUAAUAAAUAAAAAUCUUUUAAAAAUG